AGUCAAGUAAUUAAGUGCAUGUGGUGGAUGCCUUGGCAGUCAGAGGCGAUGAAAGACGUGAUAGCCUGCGAAAAGCUCCGGGGAGGCGGCAAAUAUCCUUUGAUCCGGAGAUGUCUGAAUGGGGGAACCCACCUACUUUAAGGUAGGUAUUGCAACAUGAAUACAUAGUGUUGCAAGGCGAACGAGGGGAAGUGAAACAUCUCAGUACCCUUAGGAAAAGAAAUCAAUUGAGAUUCCCUCAGUAGCGGCGAGCGAACGGGGAUCAGCCCAUUAAGUUAUGUGUGUUUUAGUGGAACGCUCUGGGAAGUGCGAACGUAGAGGGUGAUAUUCCCGUACACGAAAGGGCACACAUAAUGAUGACGAGUAGGGCGAGGCACGUGAAACCUUGUCUGAAUAUGGGGGGACCAUCCUCCAAGGCUAAAUACUCCUGACUGACCGAUAGUGAACCAGUACCGUGAGGGAAAGGCGAAAAGAACCCCUGUGAGGGGAGUGAAAUAUAGAUCCUGAAACCGCAUGCAUACAAGCAGUGGGAGCACCUUCGUGGUGUGACUGCGUACCUUUUGUAUAAUGGGUCAGCGACUUAUAUUCAGUAGCGAGGUUAACCGUAUAGGGGAGCCGUAGAGAAAUCGAGUCUUAAUAGGGCGUUUAGUUGCUGGGUAUAGACCCGAAACCAGGCGAUCUAUCCAUGAGCAGGUUGAAGGUUGGGUAACACUAACUGGAGGACCGAACCCACUGUCGUUGAAAAGCCAGGGGAUGACUUGUGGAUAGGGGUGAAAGGCUAAUCAAGCCUGGUGAUAGCUGGUUCUCCCCGAAAGCUAUUUAGGUAGCGCCUCGGACGAAUACCAUAGGGGGUAGAGCACUGUUUCGGCUAGGGGGUCAUCCCGACUUACCAAACCGAUGCAAACUCCGAAUACCUAUGAGUACUAUCCGGGAGACAGACUGCGGGUGCUAACGUCCGUAGUCAAGAGGAAAACAAUCCAGACCGCCAGCUAAGGCCCCAAAAUCAUAGUUAAGUGGGAAACGAUGUGGGAAGGCAUAGACAGCUAGGAGGUUGGCUUAGAAGCAGCCACCCUUUAAAGAAAGCGUAAUAGCUCACUAGUCGAGUCGGCCUGCGCGGAAGAUGUAACGGGGCUAAAACUAUGUGCCGAAGCUGCGGAUGUAUACUUUGUAUACGUGGUAGGGGAGCGUUCUGUAAGCCGAUGAAGGUGUGUUGAGAAGCAUGCUGGAGGUAUCAGAAGUGCGAAUGCUGACGUGAGUAACGACAAAACGGGUGAAAAACCCGUUCGCCGAAAGACCAAGGGUUCCAGUCCAACGUUAAUCGGGGCUGGGUGAGUCGACCCCUAAGGCGAGGCCGAAAGGCGUAGUCGAUGGGAAAAUGGUUAAUAUUCCAUUACUUCUGUGUAAUGCGAUGAGAGGACGGAGAAGGCUAAAUCAGCCUGGCGUUGGUUGUCCAGGUGAAAGGAUGUAGGCAUGUAUCUUAGGCAAAUCCGGGGUACUCUAUGCUGAGAUCUGAUAGCAAGCUGUACUUGUACAGCGAAGUGGUUGAUGCCAUGCUUCCAGGAAAAGUCUCUAAGCUUCAGUUACACAGGAAUCGUACCCGAAACCGACACAGGUGGUCAGGUCGAGUAGACCAAGGCGCUUGAGAGAACUCUGCUGAAGGAACUAGGCAAAAUGGUACCGUAACUUCGGGAGAAGGUACGCUGUUGUUGGUGAUGGAACUCGCUUCCUGAGCUGACGACAGCCGCAGAAACCAGGCCGCUGCAACUGUUUAUUAAAAACAUAGCACUCUGCAAACACGAAAGUGGACGUAUAGGGUGUGAUGCCUGCCCGGUGCUGGAAGGUUAAUUGAUGGGGUUAGCGUAAGCGAAGCUCUUGAUCGAAGCCCCAGUAAACGGCGGCCGUAACUAUAACGGUCCUAAGGUAGCGAAAUUCCUUGUCGGGUAAGUUCCGACCUGCACGAAUGGCAUAAUGAUGGCGGCGCUGUCUCCAGCAGAGGCUCAGUGAAAUCGAAAUCGCUGUGAAGAUGCAGUGUACCCGCGGCUAGACGGAAAGACCCCGUGAACCUUUACUGCAGCUUGACACUGAACUUUGACCUUACUUGUGUAGGAUAGGUGGGAGGCUUUGAAGCUGGAACGCUAGUUCCAGUGGAGCCGUCCUUGAAAUACCACCCUGGUAAUGUUGAGGUUCUAACUCUGUCCCGUGAUCCGGGACGAGGACCGUGUCUGGUGGGUAGUUUGACUGGGGCGGUCUCCUCCUAAAGAGUAACGGAGGAGUACGAAGGUGCGCUCAGCGUGGUCGGAAAUCACGCGUAGAGUAUAAAGGCAAAAGCGCGCUUAACUGCGAGACCCACAAGUCGAGCAGGUACGAAAGUAGGUCUUAGUGAUCCGGUGGUUCUGUAUGGAAGGGCCAUCGCUCAACGGAUAAAAGGUACUCUGGGGAUAACAGGCUGAUACCGCCCAAGAGUUCAUAUCGACGGCGGUGUUUGGCACCUCGAUGUCGGCUCAUCUCAUCCUGGGGCUGAAGCAGGUCCCAAGGGUAUGGCUGUUCGCCAUUUAAAGAGGUACGCGAGCUGGGUUUAGAACGUCGUGAGACAGUUCGGUCCCUAUCUACCGUGGGCGCUGGAAAUUUGAGAGGAUCUGCUCCUAGUACGAGAGGACCAGAGUGGACGAACCUCUGGUGUACCGGUUGUGACGCCAGUCGCAUCGCCGGGUAGCUAUGUUCGGAAGGGAUAACCGCUGAAAGCAUCUAAGCGGGAAGCCUACCUCAAGAUAAGAUUUCCCUAGGACUUUAUGUCCUCUAAAGAGCCGUUCGAGACUAGGACGUUGAUAGGUUGGAUGUGGAAGCAUAGUGAUAUGUGAAGCUGACCAAUACUAAUUGCUCGUGAGGCUUGACUAU
rnacentral:rRNA from 1 species